CCUACGGGUGGCAGCAGUGGGGAAUCUUGCGCAAUGGCCUAACGGCUGACGCAGCGACGCCGCGUGAGGGAUGAAGCUUUUCGGAGUGUAAACCUCUGUUGCUCGGGACGCGGUACCGAGUGAGGAAGCACCGGCUAACUCCGUGCCAGCAGCCGCGGUAAUACGGGGGGUGCGAGCGUUGUCCGGAAUCACUGGGCGUAAAGGGCGCGUAGGUGGUCUUGUAAGUCUAUGGUGAAAGCCCGGGGCUCAACCCCGGGUCUGCCGUGGAUACUGCGAGACUUGAGUGCUGUAGAGGCAGGUAGAAUAUCGGGUGUAGCGGUGGAAUGCGUAGAGAUCCGAUAGAAGACCGGUGGCGAAGGCGGCCUGCUGGGCAGUACUGACACUGAGGCGCGACAGCGUGGGGAGCAAACAGGAUUAGAUACCCUAGUAGUC
rnacentral:rRNA from 1 species